GUUACUUAGUAAACAGAAACGUUUAGACAAAUAGAAAAUUAUUUAAUAGUCAACGCCAGAACAACCACAUUUAGCCAAAUUUGAGCUUACGUUUCCUUGAACACGUCCAGACUACGAUCUACCAUAAUUUGCCCAGAAUAGUGACAUAGCAUUUGAAAGCUGCAAAACAUUAGGAUAAAUAAGAAUCAAUUUUUCCAUUCUGUUCAAUCGUUCAAUUAUGUGAGUGUCUUUUCUCGUAAAAAGGGCCGAACAAAAGUAACGAAAAAGAAGCCAUUUCAACUUACUUUUGUUCCAAAUAUUUGAAUUCUAUACGGAACUGAUUGAUCUGAAAUAUUCGGCCAACGCCAACGAUUUCUCUUUCACGCUGUACCAUUUAUAAGAGAAAGACGUUAGAAAGUCUAAAACCUCGAGAAUGUGAUCUCACACAAUACAUUCAUUGAGGAUUUUAGCUUUUCCCAACACCGUGCAGAAAUGAAAGUAUACUUACUCGAUGCAAAUACACAGAGAAAGAAACUAGAAACACAGGACAUGGCAGAAUAUAAUAUACCAUGUAAUUCGAUAAUGCGUAAUCGAUGAUCCUUUAUCCAGCGAAUGAAUUCCACAACAAACGAUGGUAGGAAGUGCAUGGAAAAUAAAGUGAGAUCAGUUUAGAUAUUUACCAUCGAAUACUUAUUAUAGUCGAAUGUACCAACUGUAGUGUAUUCGUAUGACUGUCCACAACGUGGCGAAAGUCCCUGAAAUUCGGGUCGAUCUGCCUCGACGAGGACAGACCCGCAAUUGAUUUUCGUAAUCGAUAGCUAAAAACGAGCAGAAAUUUUUAGACAAAUACGACCUAACAAGGAAUUUCACUUUGUAUUGUUUGAAUUAACCCCAAUCAGCCAACAGCCGGCGAAUUAUCGCACUAAUGACUCUAUUGAGAUAUAUUUGUAAGAAUUAAAUGAUCACACAGGUAACCAUUUCUGUUUGGUCGAUUGAAUUGAAAGCUGCGUUUGACUAAAAUAAAUUGUAGCCGUAUGAAUACACACAAACAAUUUCAUCUGAAACAUACAGCACACACGAGCAAAAUAGGAAAGUUUGAGAAGGACCCACUCGGAGAAUGAGAGUUAGGUAAAUCGUAAUUAAAAUAAAUUCACUGUAAUUCUACAACAGUAAUGUUAAGGAUCAGGUAAGAAACACGUUCCCUGUUUAAAUUGCAUUGUUUGAAUGUUUUGCAUAUCGUAUAUUUACCUGACCAUCAUGACCACUGUAACGUCGUAAGUGCUGUAAGGUAUCUGUUGCACGCAAUGACCAUAUGAAAAGGAGAAAAGUCGGCAUUUU